GCCUAACACAUGCAAGUCGAGCGCGCCCUUCGGGGUGAGCGGCGGACGGGUUAGUAACGCGUGGGAACGUGCCCAGAUCUAAGGAAUAGCCACUGGAAACGGUGAGUAAUACCUUAUACGCCCUUCGGGGGAAAGAUUUAUCGGAUUUGGAUCGGCCCGCGUUAGAUUAGGUAGUUGGUGGGGUAAUGGCCUACCAAGCCUACGAUCUAUAGCUGGUUUUAGAGGAUGAUCAGCAACACUGGGACUGAGACACGGCCCAGACUCCUACGGGAGGCAGCAGUGGGGAAUCUUGGACAAUGGGGGCAACCCUGAUCCAGCCAUGCCGCGUGAGUGAUGAAGGCCUUAGGGUCGUAAAGCUCUUUCGCCUGUGAUGAUAAUGACAGUAGCAGGUAAAGAAACCCCGGCUAACUCUGUGCCAGCAGCCGCGGUAAUACAGAGGGUGCAAGCGUUAAUCGGAAUUACUGGGCGUAAAGCGAGCGUAGGUGGCUUGAUAAGUCAGAUGUGAAAUCCCCGGGCUUAACCUGGGAACUGCAUCUGAUACUGUUAGGCUAGAAUAGGUGAGAGGAAGGUAGAAUUCCAGGUGUAGCGGUGAAAUGCGUAGAGAUCUGGAGGAAUACCGAUGGCGAAGGCAGCCUUCUGGCAUCAUAUUGACACUGAGGUUCGAAAGCGUGGGUAGCAAACAGGAUUAGAUACCCUGGUAGUCCACGCCGUAAACGAUGUCUACUAGUCGUUGGGUCCCUUGAGGACUUAGUGACGCAGCUAACGCAAUAAGUUAACCGCCUGGGGAGUACGGCCGCAAGGUUAAAACUCAAAUGAAUUGACGGGGGCCCGCACAAGCGGUGGAGCAUGU
rnacentral:rRNA from 1 species